AUUGAACGCUGGCGGCAGGCCUAACACAUGCAAGUCGAGCGGAUGAAGGGAGCUUGCUCCUGGAUUCAGCGGCGGACGGGUGAGUAAUGCCUAGGAAUCUGCCUGGUAGUGGGGGAUAACGUCCGGAAACGGGCGCUAAUACCGCAUACGUCCUGAGGGAGAAAGUGGGGGAUCUUCGGACCUCACGCUAUCAGAUGAGCCUAGGUCGGAUUAGCUAGUUGGUGGGGUAAAGGCCUACCAAGGCGACGAUCCGUAACUGGUCUGAGAGGAUGAUCAGUCACACUGGAACUGGGACACGGUCAAGACUCCUACGGGAGGCAGCAGUGGGGAAUAUUGGACAAUGGGCGAAAGCCUGAUCCAGCCAUGCCGCGUGUGAGAAGAAGGUCUUCGGAUUGUAAAGCACUUUAAGUUGGGAGGAAGCGCAGUAAGUUAAUACCUUGCUGUUUUGACGGUACCAACAGAAUAAGCACCGGCUAACUUCGUG
rnacentral:rRNA from 1 species